rnacentral:lncRNA from 1 species
CUGGUACGAGCACGGGCAGACAGGCACAUAGCAUUUGGUCCCUCUAAAACUACAGCGUGAACAACUGCGCUCACGGAGACGCAGUUGAGUGAAAGAUACGGAGGUUGAGUGAAAGCAGCGUGGGGAAGAAGGGAAUGGAAACGCAAGAUGACGGAAACAGGAAGCAGCUUACUGCAAGAAGCUCAGAGCUCUUUAGGCCCCUAUUAUCUCUGACUUCAAGCUUGAUAUGUAGCUUCCAGCACACAGUCAUCUGCAAACAUGCGUACAGAAGAAACAAUAUUAUCACUGAUGUCGUUCACAUGAAUCAAGAACAGCAAGGGGCCAAGCACCGACCCUUGCGGCACUCCUGAGAGUAACAGAAGUAUAAGGAUUAGCAGAUGAUUUGACUUCGUCAUUUGAUGACGCGGUGUGUCGUAGUACACCAACUGUAUUUUAAGUAGUCUAGAGGAACCAAAUAAAAAUGUAACGAAGGUAAACACGUUUGCGAGCAAGAAAAAGCUGUCGGACAUUGUGUUUAGGAUAGCUAGAGUGCUACGCAUAUUGAGGACAUAAGGCUUUGAGAGCAGAGAUAAUUAUUCAUAUGUCCAUAGUAGUAAGAAAAAGCUGCUCCUAGUUUCAAGGUGUGAUAGUAUACACAUCUGUUCUUUAAGACCGACUGGAGAAGACGCCAUCUUAUUUAGGACAGUACUAUAGCAACGCAUAUUCUGUGUCGUUCUCCAGUAUUGUAAUAAAAGAUGCGUA